rnacentral:rRNA from 1 species
UACGUAGGGGGCAAGCGUUGUCCGGAUUUAUUGGGCGUAAAGAGCGUGUAGGCGGCCUGAAAGGUCAGCUGUGAAAACUCGAGGCUCAACCUCGAGACGUCGGUUGAAACCAUCUGGCUAGAGUCCGGAAGAGGAGUGUGGAAUUCCCGGUGUAGCGGUGAAAUGCGCAGAUAUCGGGAAGAACACCCGUCGCGAAGGCGGCACUCUGGGACGGUACUGACGCUGAGACGCGAAAGCGUGGGGAGCGAACAGG